rnacentral:rRNA from 1 species
CCUACGGGUGGCAGCAGUGAGGAAUAUUGGUCAAUGGACGAGAGUCUGAACCAGCCAAGUAGCGUGAAGGAUGACUGCCCUAUGGGUUGUAAACUUCUUUUAUAAAGGAAUAAAACGAGGCACGUGUGCCUUUUUGCAUGUACUUUAUGAAUAAGGAUCGGCUAACUCCGUGCCAGCAGCCGCGGUAAUACGGAGGAUCCGAGCGUUAUCCGGAUUUAUUGGGUUUAAAGGGAGCGUAGAUGGGUUGUUAAGUCAGUUGUGAAAGUUUGCGGCUCAACCGUAAAAGUGCAAUUGAUACUGGCAGUCGUGAGUACAGUUGAGGUAGGCGGAAUUCGUGGUGUAGCGGUGAAAUGCUUAGAUAUCACGAAGAACCCCGAUUGCGAAGGCAGCUUACUAAACUGUGACUGACAUUGAUGCUCGAAAGUGUGGGUAUCAAACAGGAUUAGAUACCCUAGUAGUC